rnacentral:rRNA from 1 species
AAUGAACGCUGGCGGCAGGCCUAACACAUGCAAGUCGAGCGGAUGAAGGGAGCUUGCUCCUGGAUUCAGCGGCGGACGGGUGAGUCAUGCCCAGGAAUCUGCCUGGUAGUGGGGGAUAACGUCCGGAUACGGGCGCUAAUACCGCAUCCGUCCUGAGGGCGAAAGUGGGGCAUCUUCGGACCUCACGCCCUCAGCUGAGCCUAGGUCGGAUUAGCUAGUUGGUGGGGUAACGGCCUACCAAGGCGACGAUCCGUAACUGGUCUGAGAGGAUGACCAGUCACACUGGAUCUGGGACUCUGUCCCGCCUCCUACGGGAGGCAGCAGUGGGGACUAUUCGACAAUCGGCGAUAGCCUGCUCCAGCCAUGCCGCGUGGGUGAAGAAGGUCUUCGGAUUGUAAACCACUUUAAGUUGGGAGGAAGCGCAGUAAGUUAACACCUUGCUGUUUUGACGUUGCCAGCAGAAUAAGCACCGGCUAACUUCGU